GAGCCAAUGGAGAAGUUCCUGAUGCCCACACCUGCUGGUCUCACCGCUAGGGCCUGGGCAUCACAGGCAGGGGGAAUGGGGAGGGGACGGUAGCGUCAGCCUACACCCACACGCAGUUUCCUGAUAAAAGGUCCUUUGGAAACUUUGAUUCUCUUCUCACCAAGUUGAACGGAGAUGUGUUCCCAUAGUAAGAGUGAGGCCCCUGCAUUUGCUGCCCUCGGUUUUCCCAACUAACACCAGGGCCUCCCCCCUGUACCCCAUUCAUAUGCCUCAGAAGCUGACAAUGACUGUUGGGCUUUUCCAAUGAAUACCAGAACACCAUUUCCUGCAGCCUGAAAAGAAGACAGUAUAAUUGUUUGGCAGCAAGAGAAUCCAGGUGCCCUUCCAUGAGAAGCCCAAGCCAUGUGGAGAAGCCACGUCUAGGGACUCCAGUUAACACUCUCAGCUGAGUCCCCAGCUGACAGUCAGCAUCAACUGCCAGCCACCUCUGUCUAAAAGUGGGCUAUCUUGGGCAUCCAGCCCAGUCAAGCCUUCAGAUGAGUCCAGUCCCAGCCACUAUCUCACACAACCACACGAGAGACAUCAAGAACUCCCAGUGGAGUCCAGUCAGCCCAUGGAACUGCAAGAGACAGGAUCUCGCUGCGUUGCUCAGACUGGUCUCGAACUCCUGGGCUUAAGGGAUUCUCCUGCCUCAAUCACAGCCUCCCAAGUAGCUGAGAUUAAAAGUGCUCACCACCGUGCCAGCGAGUUCAGUUUUUGAGAUCUGUCCCAUUCCACCAAGGAUUUAAGGCUAAAGAUUUAAGUUGUGAAGAUGAUAAUGGAUUGACUCUAUGAAUGGCCACAUUUUUUUAUGCCUCCCUUUUCCCUUGUCCUCGGGCAGUGUCCUCCGACACUGACUCUGUGCUUGGCCCUGUGACUUGCUUUGGCCAAUGGUACAGCAGCAAACUUGAUGCAAACACAACUUGAAAAAGAAGAGGACAGCCAAGUCAUCCCAGCCAAGGCCACCCUGGACCAGCCAGCCUCUUGCCAAGCUGCCAGUGACCACAGAGUCCAAUUAACAACAGCCAGUCCUGGCCCAGGUCAGCACACCCAUGAGAAAGAACUUGCUAUCAUUUAAAGCCAUGGGUUUGGGGGUGGUUUGUUGCACAGCAAUAACUAACUAAUACAGAAACUUACAUUCUACAAAAAUGCUAUUAAUCAACAAGCAUAUUAAGAUGCAAUCUCGGCCUGGUGCAGUGGCUCACACCUGUAAACCCAGUACUUUGGGAGUCGGAGGCGGGUGGAUCACCUGAUGUCAGGAGUUCGAGACCAGCCUGGCCAACAUGGCAAAACCCGGUCUCUACUAAAAAUACAAAAAUUAGCUGCACAUGGUGGUGGCCGCCUGUAAUCCCAGCUACUCGGGAGGCUGGGGUAGGAGAAUUGCUGGAACCCAAGAAGCGGAGGUUACAGUGAGUCGAGAUCACGCCAUUGCACUCCAGCCUGGGUGACAAGAGUGAAACUCCAUCUAAGGAAAAAAAAAA
ensembl:lncRNA novel transcript